rnacentral:lncRNA from 1 species
AUUUAAUAAGUUUUUUUAUUACUACCGUUGAUACACCUCCAGGCAGACAUUGAGUUUUCAAAAGUUGACGGAGAGGUUUCUGAAUAUGGUGGCUGUUGGCUAGAAGUGCUUGAUUUGUCUUCUCCCACCUUCCUAUUUGAAUAAUCUUGAAGUACACUCAAAACUAGAAUAUUGAGCAACAAUUUGCCUUAUGUGAGGAAUAAUUUUUACCAACCAACUAUAGAUAACACACAUAAAUUUUCUGGAAAAAAAUUACCCAGAUUGAUUCAACAUGAGUAGAAAAUCUGAAUUUUUCAUGUCAUAUAGGAAGGAAUUCCCCUUAUCUCCCAAAUGAUGCUAUGUGUAGAGAGUUAGAAAAGGUAAUUUAUUUUUGGAAAAAAGAUAAUUACUGCUUCAUAGAAACUGUUGUAAAGCAUAGGGGCAUCAUGUUAAAAUUUUAUCAGUUAGUUUAUAAAUGUUGUAUGAUGCUGAUAUAAAAUUUGAUAAAACGUUUUGUGUACUUGUACAGAGAUUUAAAUGGAAAAAGAAAUCACCAGGAUGGAGCAUCAUUAAAAUACUGUAUUCAAAAGACAUUUAAUGCCAUGAGAAAAUGUACACUGCUUAGUGAAAAAGGAGGGCAUAUAACUUUGUAUUUAACAGAAUUCCUUUGGUGAGUAAAAAAAAAUUAAAGAAAGAUAAUGAUAUAAAUAUUAAUAGUAAAAUCUAUGUAGUACAUGUGGGC